GUUUUCAUUUGAUUGAUACUAAUCAUGUAUACCUAUUUGUUACUUUUGUUCAGCCAUCCUUGUAUCAUCAGGUAUUUUUGAUGAUUGACCAUUUCACAGUGGUAUUUCACCUUUGAUGUCUCUUGUAAAGUACAGUAGGAGUCCUAUGAUCCACACUUGAUUGACUUUUCUGUGUCUAGAUCCAUUUUUCAUGAAUCAGCAG
rnacentral:lncRNA from 1 species